rnacentral:lncRNA from 1 species
CAUGUUGCUCUAGCUCGUAAUUUUGAUAAAGCUGCCCUCUAGAUAAUUCUGGUAUUGUCUUGAGAGACUUGCAUCCAGAAAUGUCCAAUUCCACAAGUUGCUGCAAUUUCUCGAGCCCUUGAAGCUCAGUCAGUUUCACACAAUUUUGCACAAUCAGACACUCCAAGUUGGUACAUGAUGAAAAAUCAGGUAAGAUCUCAAUCGAUGAACAUCCCAAGAUAACAAUAAAUCGUAGGGAUGUCAACUUCUCAAAUCCUGGGAUCUCCCGAAGUUCAUCACAAUUUAACAGGUACAAAUACCGUAAAUUAUGAAAAUUUGACAAGUUUGGUAAUUUUGCUAAGAACUCGAAUCCCUUAUUAAUAAAGUCUCACAGGAUGUGAGUCUCUUUAGGUUCUGAGUAUCAUGAAGCUUGUCACAGUUAACAAUUUCCAAAAUUCGUAAGGUGUCAAAGCAACAUAAAUUUGGUAACCUUACAAGGGAAGUGCACUCAGAGAUUCUUAACACUUCCAAAAACUCCAAUUUAUCGAGGCCUUGAAUUUCGACUAAGUUUUUGCACUGGAGAACUUCUAAUUUCUUCAAACCCUUACAUUUUGAAAGGUCCAGCUGUUCAAUUGCAGAGCAAAGACGGAUCUUUAUCUCUCUCAAGAACUUCAAACCCUCAGAUUUUGAAAGGUCUAGCCGUUUAAUUGCAUCGCACCCAAAGAUUCUUAUAUUUCUUAAGAACUUCAAACCCUUAGAGUUUGAAAGGUCCAGCUGUUCAAUUGCAUCGCACCGUACGAUCAUUAUCUCUCUCAAGAACUUCAACUUAUUGAGGCCCUGAAUUUCGACUAAGUUUUCACAGAAUUGAAGAUGUAAAGUCCUCAGACCAUUGGAUUUUGAAAGGUCCAACCUUUCAAUCGAAACCCGCGAGAUCUUAAGGAAUUCCAAGAGCAUCAUCCUAUCAAGGCCUUGAAUUUCGACUAAGUUUUUGCAACCAUGACAACGUAGCCUUUCAAUUGAAGGGCAAUAAUUGAUCUUUAAUUCUUUCAAGAAAUCCAACCGAUUGAGGCUUUGAAUCUCGACUAUGUUUUUGCAAUCCUUAACACUUACUGUCUUCAAAUUCUCAGAUUUUGGAAGAUCCAGCCUUUCAAUUGAAUCACACUUUGUGAUGAUCAAGCUUUCCAAAUAUAUCAAUUUGUCAAGACCUCGAACUUCAUGCAUGUUAUGGCAAUGCUCAAUAAAUAAUGUCCUCAACUGGUUCAAUUGUGAAAUGUCCAUUAUUUCCCCAAAUGUGACGUUUGAAGCUUUUAAAUCUCGGAGCUUUCUCAUCCUAAAAAUACCAUUGGUUAAUUCUAACAUGCCAAAGGUACCACCAAUAUGCAGAAUUUCUAGAUUUUGUAAAGCUCCUAUGCUAUCUGGCAGCACCUUGAGUCUAAAACACUCCUCCAACUUCAAGCGUACCAGGUUCUUCAAGUCUCCGAUAGAAGAGUCAAUUUGCUCUAAUUUCAAACAAUGACAGAGUAUCAGAACCUCUAAAUUCUUAAAAGCUGAGAGGAAGACUGUGCUUCUUAAGGAUUGACAAUCUGUAAGGUCAAGAACUUUUAACUUCUCUGCCAUCUGGAAAAAAACAUAACAAUAAAAAUCGAGGGUUAGCCUAGAGCAAUUAUGAUUCCAAAGAAUGCAGAAAAAGAAAACUUAUUCUUCAAUCUUACCAUGGAACUCCAUCCUUGCCAUUCAUUUGAGAUCUUGCUCAAAGACAAAUCGAGUACGACUAAUUCCGUUAGGCGAAAAUUAUUUGCUUCAAAAGUUGAGGGACAACCCCGCCAUCGAAGCCAUUUUAACUCCCCCAUUGAAUUCUCAAAAUCUCCUCUAAGACAUGCCCCACUCACAUCAAGGAACCUUAGACCUGUUAACUUCUUGAAUUGCUCAGCUUCAAAAUUCUCGAAUUUCUCAGCCUCAAAAUUCUCGAAUGGCCCAGCCUCAACAUUCUCGAAUGGCUCAUCAAAGUGGGAAUGGUGAACUUUGUUAAAAUAAAUGGCCUUAAUAUUUUCUGUUCCCUGUAGGUAACCAUCAAUGUUCGUUAAUCCUAUUUAUAUCCAACAAAACUAAUCUAAUAUUAUUUGUUCAUAUUGCUAUAACAUGCAUAGACGUUCUUAAGAGACUAGUAAAGUAUCGACAUAUCAACUUUGAUAUUGAAAUGUGGCCAUACGUACUUGGAUCUUAAAAAGAAUUAUAAUGUUCUCUUUUUUUGGUUUUUUUUUUAAUUUUAGUUUGUAUAAUAGUUUGUAUAGUAUUACUCUUUAGUAUAAUGGCUCAUAAAGGGAAAAACUUUACAACUUGCAAAUCCUCUUCUUUCCGCUAAUUUAGCCGCAUUACUAUAUUAGUUAGGAGUUAGGACGUACAUUCAAUGCACAGGAUUUCACAUUAUGAAGUCCUUUUCUUUUCCGCUUCUUCUUAUGUAUAAAUUUCAUAUAUGUUACUUGAGUGUGCUACUUACCCCAUUAAUAAAAACUAACAUAUACUCACUGUUGUUUUUCCCAUUGGAGUAAUGUAUAAUUAUAAGUAACUGAACUUGUGAUGGUAGUCAUAUUAAUAUCCUGUGUAAUUUAUUUCAUUAUUACUAAUAACUAAAAUAUCAUUAAUCAAUUACUUUCUAAUUAUAGUAUUAUAUUCUCUAUAACAUUGUUUUAGCGUAAAUUAUGACUUAAUUAUAGAUUACAAUUUGAUUUAUUCUAAACAAAUCAUAACUAUAGAUGAUUGAAAUAUUGAAAUAUAAUAAAUGUAAUAUCAUAGAUCUAAUAACUUUGGUCCAUUCAAAUAUAAUCAGUUAUUAAAUAUGCAAAGUCAUUGCUGAAAUAUGAAAAUUGAAGCUAUGCUUAGCUACAUGGAAUAGUUUUUCCUUGGCCCCCUAAAAAUAACUAUUCCUGAUUUUGGGAGAAUAGUAAUACCUAAUCUAUUUUUGAAUAAAGCGAAAUAAUAACUGCUUCAUCAGAACAAAUGAUAAAUAGAAUAGCUAUUCUUGCGAACCAUUGUAGCAAGCUUUCAUCAAGAAAAAUCACUAAAGCAUUCGAAGUCGAGAAAAUUCAGGGAUUUACACAAUUUAGUUUCUCCGAACAUGAAAAUUUCCUUUGGUACUUCACAUUGUUGUACAAGAUUUCAUGGAUACUGAAAGGAGAAUGACGUAACUAGUGGAGGAGGAAAUAGAUUUCAACACCUAAAAGGAAUCCAAGUUAAGAGUAAUAAAAAAAAAAGGAAGCAACCUCCAAAAGAAGUAAUCAUACUCAGAUUAGUCAUUUCGCUCGUAAGCUUCCCUAAAAAUAUCAAGAAAUCCUAUCUGUCAUCAAGAAUUCUUUGUUUUCAACUGUGUAUCUUUUUCACUUUCAAGAAUCGAUCCAUAAAUUUUGAGUAUACUUACAGCCAAAUCCCAAAAACAAUCCCAACUUUUUGUACUUGGGACAAAGGUAGCACAAUCUUUCAAUCAUACCAAAAAAAUGCCUAACCUUUUACAUCUAGAGCAAAUAUUACAUAACCUUUCAAAAGCAUAUUAAAAAAAAAAAAAAAAAACCAAUCAUCUACCCGUGGAAGAAAGCUAACACCCGCUACAAUUGUCGUCCAUUGUCAUCGUUAUAUCACCACAAAUACCCACAUGGUUCACUGUGCUGACGUACACAGCAAACCAUAUCAACAAGCGCAAAAAACUACGUUGUUUUUCUAUUUUUAAUAACCUUUGUACCUAAUUUUUAGCAUUUUGAAAUAUAAAAAUCUAUUUGUGAUCAUGAUUAUUGUGGUUUACUGUGUAUGUUCGCGCAUUGAGCUGUGUAGACAAUGCAUGGCGAUUUAAAGUGUGAAUAAGCAGAAUUUGUAAAGGGUGUCAAUUUUGUCCACUGAAUGAAAAGUUGUAAUAUUUUCGGCCAGCAUGCAAAAAGGCUAGACUUCUUUUUACGCUCUUUUAAACUUUGUGUUAUUUUUCUCUCAGUUGCAACACUUUGUAUUUUUAUUUAUUUGGUUGUAUACUCAAUAAUACCCAUGGAGUGAGUUAUGAAUGUGUUUCAAUUAUGAUUUAUAUGUCAUUCGUUUCCUGUUUAUGUAAGUUGUAUUGUCUAUGCUUCUCACUUCGCAUGGGUUUUAUCAAAGUUGAUCCCAUUUUUAGAUAAUAUAAAUGAAAGUAACUUUAGGUAUUUUGAUUAAAUGUAGGAAUAAACUUUAAAGAUCUUAUAUCAGUUUUACUGAAAGCACUUUGAUUUUGACUUAUGAUAGUAACUUGAAUUGAACGAACCGAAAGUAUAUCCUGCAAAAAUACUGAAAUAAUUAUGUCAAACAUGCACCUUUUCAAUAGUAAAAGUUAAUUUUACCAGUUUAUUUAGAUAUAAAGUAGACAGGAUAUUCAUUUUUCUUUUGGUUAGUUUAGCUUAUUUCUGAUGUAAUAUGAAAGACAUAAUAAAUAGACAUAGUCUUUGAAUUUGUUAAUACAUGAAUUGGCUAUUGAUAUUAUGCAAGUUCGCAUAUUGAGAAUGCAAAUAGGUGCUAGUCUUUUGAGCAACAACUUGAGUCAAACCAUAUAAUGGAUUAGUAGUAGAGUCAAAAUCACAAUUAGUUACACAAAUGCCGCCAUAUUCACUCAUAUCAUACUAAUUUGAGAAAAUUUUAAAUAAGGAUAUGAAGUGGAGUUGUUUUCUCAAAAGAAGACCUGAAAUGGACGAAAUAGUGAAUUUAGUCUCAAAUAAGGACUUUGGCAUGGAUUUUACUUUGUGUUACAAAAUGCUCAAUGUGGUUGCGAUUGUGCUCUGGAUUGUUCUGGCUUGAACAAGAGAGAAUCAUAUGACUCUAGAAAAUCUAAUCCAAAGCAGUUGCGGAGACAAAUCGAAACAACAAAAUUUUCGCAUUGCCUCAUAUAAGGGUUUUGCAUCCCAUAAUGCGGUUCACUCGACUAUAAAAAGGUCACAAUUCUAUGUUGUUUACAAGAAGCUCCUAGGCACAAGGUGACUUUGCGAUACACCCUUCCACACGUUCCCUCAAGAAGCUCCCAAAACAAGCCCUUAUCAACAUCACCAUAGCCAUAGUCAAACACCCACAUCCACCCAUUCCCUCUAAGCUCUUUGACAUUCACAAAAUUGCAAUUUCCCGGAACCCCACAAAUUUAAGCUCUACACCUACUAAAGACUCCCUCUUGCAAUCCACGGCCUCGAAAAGAAGGAGAAGAGUAAGGUUAAGGUGUCUCGAGAUGGAAUUGACGUGGUCAAGUUCUCGUCUCUGUUGGUGGAGGAGUUGAGGAAGUGCCGUGAAGAGGCUGUUGAUGGUGACAGGAGGAAUUCAACGUCUUCAGUGGUGGUGACUGGUAUGAUCAUCACAACCAGAGCGAAGGAGGCUUGAGAAAGAUGAAGAAAAAUAAUGAAAAAUGGUUUUGGAUGAGAAUGCCCCCGAAGGUGGAUAGAAUUUGACUAGUUGGUGAGGUUAGAACCUUAUCUGAGACUAAAUUGGCGUCUUGAGACUUUAUUUAAGACAAAAUCCACUUCUUAGCAUCUUUUAAGAAAGCAACUCCACUUCAAGCCUCUGUAUGAAAUUUUCCCUACUAAUUCGAAUUCUAUUAUUUCAUAUCUGAAUUACUAAUUAGUUAUGGUUUAAAGUGACAUGAUCAAGUUAUUUAUUGCACGUGUGAAGGACAAAACUGAAUUGGGGUGCGUUUGGUUCGUGAAACUCAAAAUUUGAAAAAUAUUUCUCUAAAAAUGAUUGCUUAUGCAGCUUUCAAAAAUGAAUUAGUGAAAAAUAUUUUCAUCAUCCACGAAAAUAGCUAACAUUGUUGAUAAUGAAAAUGUUUUUCGUUGACUAAUUUUUCUAAACAAUUUCUAAACAAUAUAACCAAUCAUUUUUUAAAAAAUAUUUUCCAAACCUUAAGUUUUACGUGAAACAAACACACUUAAAAAUUUGGUAGUUUUUCAAUAUAGACCCCCUUUAUCAGGUAUCUAAUAAAUUUACAAGUACCUCAUCUUUGGAGAUAUAUUUGUAAUGUACAUUUGUUUAAGAAAAAUCUUAGGCAAGCUGCAAUACUUACCAAGACAGAGCAAUCUCCUACUUUCUAAUCACUAAUCACAUCAAUGCAAUGACAUGAGGGUAAUAAUAUUAACAGGUUCUCUACUCACUAGGGCAAGCAUUAAAGUAAAACCCCAACAUCACUCAGACAAGAGAACAUGGACUAAAGGAGCGAAAAAAGAGAAUCUGUUACCUUAUUUUCCUUUAGCACUUUUAGGACUUUCUUCGAUUCCCACAACCUGCUAUGGUAUUGAGGCUCUUCCCACUUCUUCUGGCGAACAAUUUCCCUACCAAGAUCUCUCAAUUGGUCAUGCAUUAUGAGCUCAUGAUUAUCUCCAACUUUUAUUAAUGACAUAGAACUCAAUUUUGCAAUUCCCUCCUCUGGAUAAAAGCCACAGGCGUCCCACAUGUAGGAUGCAAUUCUUCCAUCGGUCCCAAUUAAAAAACAAGCGACAUCCAAAAAUAUUUGUUGUUCACGAUAUUCUAAUGCAUCAUAACUUAUCUUUAACCUUUUUUUCACAUCCUCAUGAGGGACUUCUCUUAACUUUUUUAUCGUACCGCUCCAUCGUUUUGACUCUUUUUUGAACAAUAAUGAACCUAUAACCUGAAGAGACAAGGGAAGCCCCCCAGUUGUGGAUACAACUUCAUGAGCAAGGUCCUCGAAUUCACUUGGAGGAGAGCUCAUUCCAAACGCGUGUCUACAGAACAAGAUCAAAGAUUGGUUCUUAUCCAAUUCCUCAAGUUUAUGGUAGCAGUCCACCCUUGCACUUUCAAGAAUACUCCUGUCUCUUGAGGUAAUAAGGAUCCUACUUCCUGAAUAAAACCAAUUAUGAUUUCCAGCCAAAGCCUUCAACUAAUCAUAAUGGUCCACAUCAUCAAGAAGAAUGAGUACUUUCUUUUUCUUGAACUUGGAUGAGAGCAACAUAGUCCCUUCAUGUUUAUUAUGAACUUGGUUUUCUCCUCCCAAUAUAUCAAAGAUUAGCUUCUUUUGCAAGGACUCAAGGCCCUUAAGGUUACAUGAUUCCCUAAUAUCAGGAAUGAAGCUACGAGAGUCAAAUUGAUCGGAGAGCUUGUUGAAGAUAAUGUUAGCAAGAGUUGUCUUACCAAUGCCUCCCAUUCCAUAGAUGCCAAUAAAUAGGGUGACAUUAGAAUUAUUAGCUACAUCUAUCAUAACCUUCUCCACAGGAUUAUCAAUUCCAACCAAAUUCUUGGGAAUAAGCAAAUCAUAGUCUUUCUUCAGCUUGUUCGACACCGUUUGGACAAUCAAUCUCACUAAUUCUGCUUCAUUCCUGUCAAAGGCGACAAGAGUUCAAGUACGUGGCAACAACAAUUUUAUAUUGUUUAUAUAUUGAGAACAUAAUAACAAAAAUAUCUAAGAAUUGUUUUUGCUACCUCCACGUAUUAUCUUAAUGCUAACAUUAAAGUGAUUAUUGCCGGCGGUUGCUUCACAUGGCUAUUCCAUUAUUAUUCUAAGACAAUUUAUUUAGCGGGAAGAAACUUGAGGUACCGCUAAUAAAUCUUGAAUUUUUAUAUAGUAUCAAUUUGAAUCAAAUUUUAAAAUUUUUGUUUGUUUAGAAUUUUAAGGAUGACGUGGAUGUGACUUUGAAAACUUUCUAAGCAUUUGAAAUAAGCGAAAAUACAAUAAGCCAACUUGGUAUGAGAGUUCAACCAUCAAUCAAAUAGGUAAUAACUUUUGAUGCAAGAGGAAGUUAGUUCCGGUAAUACCAAGCCGGAAAGUUAUCCUAAGUGCCAUAUUGUGAACUACCUAAACACAAUUAGGGGGAUUUCACCUUAUAAUCGCAUGGGUGCAAGUUUCCUCUCAUGUCGUGAAUUUAGUGUCUUUCUAAAUUCAUUUUCUUAUCGAUCUUUAUCGUGUCGAGGGAUGAUAAAAGGUUGUACUUUACUUUCCUUUUUGAGUAUCUUUGUUCUAUGAUUAUAAUUUAUCCAAUGUUGAUUUUACUGCAAGUAGAAGAAUGACUUUUCCAGAAUAAUUUUUCCUCAAAAUAAGAACAAUGCUUCAAUUUAUGCAGGUGUAUGAGGUAAUAAUGUGUUGAAGGAAAUGCAUUGGAAAGAUAUGUAAACAAACAAAUAAUAAGGAUAAUCUAUUUUCCUUUUUAUAUGUACCAUCAUAUGAAAUAUUUCUUUCGGUAAAAAUGAUUAUAAAAGCAACUCAUUAACCACGUUAUAAUUCAAUAAAUGUAGCUUGGGAAGAUAAAGGAUUAUGGCUUUGGCUAUCGACAUGCACGGUAUAUGAUGCUAUUGCUUUGAAUGGGAAGCACCAAUAAGUCGAGAUAUUAGUCUCAAAUAAAUAUGAACUAGAAAAGUCUGUAAUGAAGACUAAUUUAACUUAUAAUUUAAACAUGAAAAAAGAAAUGGUACAGUGUUACAAGGCAUUUGGAUAUGGGUGAAAGUUCAUCUAAAAAAGCUUAUAUUAUUCAAGCGAAUGAGAUCAUUACAUUAGAAUUUAUAAUUAGGUGGGUCAUUAUCGUUAAAGUAAUUCCUAAAACUGAUAACUUAUAACACCCAUGCAUUGCAGGAUCUCAUCCCUUUUUUAAAAAACAAGAGAAACAAAAAGGAAGAAAAGAAUCUGCACCAAAAAAAGGAAGAAAAGAAAGCAGGUAGGAGUCAGAACAACAGUAAACCCCCACACAAAUUAAAAGAAAGUAAAGAAAGUGUUCGGUGAAAAAUGAAGUACCCAUCGGCUUCCCAUCCUUUCAAUUUACCGACUGCUGUGAGUGCUUGCUUAUAUUUCUCCAAAGUCACUGGGUUGAAAGGCUUCUCCCGCUUAAGAAAUGCACCUCCGAAACUUCCACUCUGAUGCCGCACGUCAGUUGGUUUCACUUUGUAGAAUAUAGGCAACACUAUAUGUCCCGUCUUAUUUUUCUUGCACUCCAUUAUUUGAAUCAGUUCAUCAAGGCACCAUUUGCUCAAACAAUAAUUCUCGGAGAGAAUGGGGAUCAAGAUCUUACUGUUCUUGAUGGCUUCCAAGAGAUCGGGGCCGAUCUCCUCGCCUUGGCGGAGCUUAUCGUCCAAGAAAACAUCAAUUCCGGCGUCGAGUAGCCCGCGGUAGAGGUGACUGGUGAAACCUUUUCGAGUAUCUUCACCUCUAAAGUUUAAGAACACCUCGUAAUGGUCCUCAGUCGGCGCGGUCGACGAACUAGAUGCGCCGGAAUCGGUUUCCACCGGAGAGGCCGACGAUCCCGCCGUCCCGGCAUCAGCAUCUUCUGCAUUUCUUCGCGCACUGGCUCUUUUCCUGUUGAGAAAAUUGAAAGCGAGCCCGGAAAGGAGGGUCAAUGCCGCGAGCACGGCGAAAGAGUGCCCAAAAAUGGGAGGAUGCAUUUCUUCUUUGCUCUGGAUUCUGCCCUCUGUUUUAUCUUCUCCGAGUCCGACGGCGAAGAAAACCAGAAUGCCUCUCAAGGAAAUACAGAAGAAGGGUUUAUGGUUCAGACACGCUCUUCCGCAAUGUUCUAUCAUUUUAUCAGCACUUCGCCCUUGCCAUCGUAGCCACAGCGAGGAGAGUCAGAUGUGGGGCCCCUUCGGUGUCGGUCCCUUUUCCCCCCUUUCACGAGAAAAUAUUGGGUGGUCCCGAACCACCCAAUAUUUUCUCGUGAAAGGGGAGAGAGGCGCGUGAGUGGUCCGGGACCACGCUGACGUGGCGGUCCCGGACCACCCAAUAUUUUCUCCUCCCCCUUCACGGUGUUCUGAAAUGUGGGACCACUUGGCGCCUCUCUCAUUUUUUUUGUUUAGGGCCCCUUCGACACCAUUCUCACCGUCAAGUCAACGAUCCAAGUUAACGUACUUUUGAGAAAUUUUCAUUAAAUUUUACCAUUAAAUAAUUACGUCAAAUAACACGUAACAAUUAAUAAAUAUAUCAAUUUAACAUUUUGCCAUCCGUUUAUUAUAAAUAUAUCAAUUUGUGAUUUUUUUUCUAAUAUUAAUCCAAUUUAAUCGAAAUUAACGGAUGAUAAAUUUGUCGUAAAUAUAUCUAUUUAGAUUUUAAAAUUUGAAUUAAAUUUUUCAUAAAUAUAUUAAUUUUAAAUUUUUAUAAAUAAAAAUUAAUUUAAAGUAAAUUUAUCUAAUUUGUGAUUUUCAUGAUGUUAACUCUUUACCAUUUUAUUUUAGCCCUUGCCUUUUCCAUUGGCCACAUCCUUUCAUUCCCUCGAUCUUGUGCAUUUCUUCCUCUUCUUCCUCUUCAUCUCCGUCUCACUUCUCCGAGUGCUCUCGCUCUCUCUCUACGCCGUUCCUCAACUGAUGUGGUUAAAGCUCUCAUUGAAUUCGUUCUUUUUUUCGACCAAAAAAGAAUUCGUUCCUUGCAGAACCGUACUCUUCUUCACUUAUCUUGAUUACGUUGGGAAAUAGAAAUGGUGAAUGUCGCCGUGCAUAUUUCUUCGCCUUUUCCUUCCUUGGGUUGAGCUUGCCUGAUUUCUCCACCCUGCGUGGGUCUCCUAUGGUCAAAUCAGAAACGCUGGGAAAAUAGUUUAAAUGGUGCUAGGGAGCAGGUCUUGUGGAAGUUAUGUUUAUCAAGAGAUCACGUCGGAUCGUGUCAAGCAUUCGAAGGAUGGAUACCAUUCAUAUACCAAAUGCCGGUGUGCUGCACACGUGCGAUCAUUACUUAAAUGUCUUUCAACAUUGGUACACCCAUUCAACUAUUCAUAAGAUUGGAGUACUUGGUCGAUCGCGUGGUUGCCCCUCUAGUGAUGUGAGUCGUAACAUGAAGGAAGAGAUGCAGCCUUUCCAAUUUAUUUUUCAGGAUGAAGAAUCCACCAAAGCAAGGAGGAAAAUCUCUCUGAUCAAUCCAUCCCACCUUUGAACAACUAGUAGCUCCGAUCAAUGAUGAGACAGAACCGCGUCGUAGAAGGUCAUGUCAGAAAGCGAAAGGAAAAAAGAAGAAACAAACGAGAAAAGAGGGACACCGAAAGGUAAGUGAUUUAUUGUUGAGGAUGGAAAAAUCCUCUAAAGCAAGGGGGAAAAUUUCACUGAUCAAUCCAUCCUAUGUUUAGACAGUUAAUAGCUCUAAUCAAUGAUGAGACAGAAUGCGUCGUGAAAGGUCAUGUUGGAAAGCAAAAAAAAAAAAAAAAAAAAAAAAGAAACAAACGAGAAAAGAUGAACACUGAAAGGUAAGUGAUUUAUUCUUUAGGACGAAGAAUCCUCUAAAGCAAGGGGGAAAAUUUCACUGAUCAAUCCAUCCUAUGUUUAGACAGUUAAUAGCUCUAAUCAAUGAUGAGACAGAACCGUGUCGUGGAAGGUCAUGUCGGAAAGCAAAAGGAAAAAAGAAGACACAAACGAGAAAAGAGCGAUGCCAAAAGGUAAGUGAUUUAUUCUUUAGGAUGAAGAAUCCCCUAAAGUGAGGGUUAAAAUUUCACUAAUCAAUCCAUCCUACCUUAGACAGCUAAUAGCUCAAAUAUGAGACAGAACAAUGUCAUGGAAGGUAGAAGAAACAAAUGAGAGAAGAGGGACACUAAAAAGUAUAGAGGUGAUCGGUUUCGAUCAAUAUGGUUCCACUUAGGAAUCGAUGACCAAAUUAGGAGAAUCGAUUCCCAAGUUUUGGGGCUAGGAACCAAAUGAGACUGAUGUAGGACUAAGAACUAGAUCGAACCGACUUGGUCCCAUGAAAUCAAUUACUUAGCAAAACAAAAAAAUUAAAAAAAAAUGAAGAAAAAUACAAGAAUUAUUACUCUUUUUAAGUUUUAUUGCUAUUUAAAAAAUAUAUUAUUUUUUUAAAAAGGUUGGUCCAAUCGGUCUGAUUUGGUUCGAUGCCUCUUCAGAAUCAGGAAUUGGACCAAUAAUCACUGGUUCCAUUUUUACGAAAUCGAGAACCAAACCGAUCCCUCUAGGAAUCGGACCAAACCAACCAACCCGGGUGAUUCCUGAUUUUGACGGUCUGGCAUGCUAUAUUAGGAUAGAUAUUUCUAAAACUGAUCAAUUUAUGAAAAAUAUUUUUUUUAUGAAUUAAAAACAAUGUGAUUAAAUCAAUGGAAAAUGACUUCCUCUUUUGCCAAGAUGAAAAUCAUUUUUUUUCUAAAUAACCAGAAAAAAAAAACUUAAAUUUUCUCAAAUAAUUAUUUUUAUAAAAAAUAUUUUCUAAUCAUAAAAUAUUUACUAAAACAAACGGAGCACUGACUUGGAGACAAAAAUACUCCCUCCAACAAGUCAAUGCUCGGAAUUAUCUUCGCUUUUAUUUAAUUUAUUAUCCUGGUAGACUUAUUUAACUCCACAAAAACUCCCAAUUCCUUCCUCGCUCCAAACCCUUGAGUUUCCCCCAUCGUCGCUGCUCCACUCACACGCCUCCAUAGCCCUAACCCCAAGCCAUCGGUCAUUCUCCGCGGCCCCAACCUUCUCAAGUCCUAAACGGGGUAUACUCGGGGUUUUCUAUCUAAUCGAAUUGCUACCAAUCAAUUAUAUAUAUAUAUAAACAAAGAAGGGAAAAAAAGCUAGGUUGAUUGGAAACGUAGAUGUAAGUGUUGCGAAAGUGUUGGUCAUUUGCAACUCACGGUUUGGCGUUUCGAUUACGUGUAAUAAGAAGUUAUUUUCCACAUGAUACCCUUUUGGCACCUUAACUUUCAAUUAAGUCAUUCGAAUGAAAAUAUCAUUAAUUUCCUAAAUUUAUUGAAAAGAUUUUGAUUUUUUAUCGUAGAUGUAAUAAGGGAACUUCCUUUAUUAUUUAUGCCCUAGUAUGACUUCGUAUGCCAUAUGUGUUUGCUUUAUCAAAAUAUGGAUGGAUCUUAAUCUGUAAGGUGUGUUUGCAUGUGCAAUUGGGUAAUGACGUAUAAUUAAAUGAUACAUGCUUAGUUUUGAAAUUGACGGAGAGUGUUAUUGUUUGACCUACCUUUUUUUUCUUUUUUUGAACAGAUAUUGUUUGACCUACUUGGAUUGCGGUAUAUUCGUCCUUUUGGCCUUAUAUGAUGAUGAUUCUGAAAGCUGAAAAUAUCUUUGAGAAAUUAAUUAUAGUUAUUUUCAAAGUUUUUUGGGAAAAUCAUGGAAUCCGUGGGGUCUCGAAUCAUGAUCCGAGGGAACCUUUAGCUCCAUCGCUUUUAGGGUAAGGCCACCCUAAGACUGCCACGUGGUAGUCUCAUUUGGCCGUUUCUUAAGCUGCCACUGCCCUUUUUCUUUCUAAAAAAAUAUAUUUAGUAUUAAUUAUUUUUUUCCCAUAUUUGAUAAAAUUUUGACUGGAUCUAACUUUUCUGGUGUGAUGUCGAUUGACAAAAUUUUUACUCCCACAAAAAGUUUCCUACCCCAAAUUUCUGAAAAUGUCAUUUGAUCCUUGAAAAUAUGUCAAGAUCACAAAUAUCCAUGAAUUUGACUGAACAAAGAUGGUGAUGAGAAAUUAUGAUUUUUUCUCCAUUACAAAUCUGAUCACUGUGAUUUUUGCAGCAUUGGGAAUUUUAUAACUUGGACCGUCUAGUAGAUUUAAUUGAUUGUGGCAAAUCAAAAAAAUACUUGACACUUCAAGAUAUGAUUGUAAGUAAAAGAGGUAAUAUAUUUUGCAGUGUCGCAAAGUUUUGAUUUAGAUAAAUUCGGUAUUGUUGUGGAACUAUUACCCCAUUGUUCAUUUUGGUCUUUGGUCGAACUUUUGAUGAAGUAAUAAUUUCGGUCAGUCUUGGUCAAACUUUAGGUCAAAAUUUCGGUAUUUAUGAUGAUAAUUAAUCUGAACCUGUUGAUAUUUGAUAAAGAAGGACAACAUAAACAAAGUGCAUCGCGCGGGAACUAAGGAGCCAAAAACAGGAUGGUUAUCCAUCUUUCAGUCGCUUUUGCCUCUUCAGAAAUGUGAAUGUCCCCUGGAAAUGUGCAAGAUAAUUAUUAAGAAUGAUUCCAAACAGGAAGGUCUCCUGCUUAAGUGUCACCUGGGGGUUUACAGCGCGGCUGUCGGCUGUAAACCGGUUCCUCCGGCACCAAAAAAAAAAAAAAAAAUGAUUCCAAACAGGCGGCCAGCGCAUGAUAGAACCCACCCCGGAAAAAAGUGAGCAAACGCGGACCAUCCACUUUUCACUUUGUCCCACGGAAAGUUUGACUUUUUUCGUGACCCAAAAUCGUGGAUGUUUCGGAUUCCAGAUGUGACCAUGAAAUUGCUCAUAGACCAGCAGACAUCAUGUACAUUUCAUAUGUCCAGGUGAGACGAGUGAGGGAGUGACCCAGCCAGAUGCUGCUGUCUCUAGAUCAGCCCAGAAGACGUUCAAAAAAGAGGAUCUGGAAUUCACAAUUGAUUGAUUGUAUUGGAAAAGGGGAGAAUUCACCCAAGCUCGCGAUGCUUGCGGGAUUAGCUUUCUAUUUGUUGCAGAUAUGAAAACCAUGAAGUCCAUUUAACUAUUCAUACUAGCCCCGAACAUAUCAUCUCGGCAACCUAAUACAGCACGUAAUAACACAACGACCAAUUUAUCCAUUCACCAUUUGGGACAUCCGAUCAAAAUGAAACAAGCACAUUCGAGGUCGAUUUGUGACUUUGUAGUCCAAAACAAAAGCAAAUAAAAUAAAAGAGAUGAAACUACUAAAAAGAUUACUAGUAACAAAAAAUCGAUCAUGAAUUCUGCCGAGACAAGAGUCUGUUUCAACUAUGGAAAUGUCAAGAGAAGCCCAAUUAGCACGAAUAUUCAGUCUCUUAUACAUUAUAAACCAGAUGUUUCUCAUUCUUUGCUAUAAGAAUUGGAAUUUUAAUGCGGAUGAAUAAGGGAGUUCUGCUAAUGUAGCCUCCCCCCUUACCAAAUAUGAACAAGAAAUUUUCAACUCUAAAUAAGUUCUGAGUCGUAUCAAGACUUCCCCCCGCAUCCUCUGCAUUAUCAUCUUUAACCAUCAGAGGAGGCACGAUGGUUCUCGAUUACUUAGGCGAAUUUGGAUAAUAUAUUUCGGUCUCAUGGUGCAUGCAGAACACGCAGAAUUGAUUUACUUCAAUUGGACAGAGUUAGAAAACAUUCCUUUUUUUGGUUUCNNNNNNNNNNNNNNNNNNNNNNNNNNNNNNNNNNNNNNNNNNNNNNNNNNNNNNNNNNNNNNNNNNNNNNNNNNNNNNNNNNNNNNNNNNNNNNNNNNNNCCCCCCCCCCCCCCCCCCCCCCCGGCCAAAAAAAAAAUACUAUUGUCCGAAGACAAUGCCAAGAUGAGCAUCAAAGUGACAAGAUGAGCUCUUCACAGGCAAACAUCAGCUCAUUCUCGUACCUCUUCAGCACAAACCUCUCUUCAGAUGCUAUAAUGGUGGUGACAACACAUUUCUUGUCUGAAAAUGGCUUCCUACCUGUCCUUCCAGCUCGAUGAAGGUAAUCUACGGCACUCCUCGGAAGAUCAAAGUUGUAAAUAUGAGUUGUUUCCGGCAGGUCAAUACCUCCGUCUGCAAUCAGUUGCUAGAAUAAGACAGCCCUCUUUUUGUCUCACUUCCUGUGGUCCAAAUAUGGAGGAUUAAAUAUGAAGUCGGACUAUACAUAUUUUCACCAAUGGACUGCUUAAGAUGUGCUUAGUAUACCCAUAUUUAGCAUGACGAGGAGUAUAUGCCUAUUUUAACUUGAGAAGGUCUACUUUAGGCAUUAAUAAAGGUUAUGAAGAAAGAAAGAAACGGUUUUCCUAAAGAAAACACAGUUGUAGCCAGAUAAUUUUCUUAAGUGGUAUGAUCUCUUUGAUCCUGAUUAGUGCUACCAAAUAAUAAUGGUCUGUUAAGGUUUUGCAGCAUCCUUCCUCCUAUCUAAAAAAAUCCAGCAUCUCGGAUCCACAGAGAGUAAGGGUAAAAUCCAUCUCGUUCCAAAUAUAUUAUAGGACAAACACAGUUGAAGGGCAUAUCUUUAAUAUGCCAAAUUUCUCAACCCUGAGCAUUCUCAAAGUGAGGGAAGAAACAUCAUGAUGGAAAAAGUGAAAAGCACUUACCGAGAGCGAAGCUGCUCGUGCAUUGAAAUUCAUGUCUUCUUCUAGAAGGAGAAUAUUAGAGCAGCUUCCAUAAGAAUUCUUCAAGAAUUCAAGUAGAAGAGUUGUUGGUCGUACAUUUCCAGCCUUUUUUGACUUCUCAGACUAAACGCACAAAAGAUAGAAUUGGUUAGUGGACCCGCAGACAGUUGUUUAGAAAGGUGUAUUCACGUGAUAUAUGUGUGCUCAUGAAUGCUACAAGCUUCUGUAGAAUAUAUAAAUAAAAGCUGCAUUCACUUUAAUACAUUCCAAAACCCUCUCUGUGCAGGAAAACUUUCAGGACGUUGUAAAAAAUUCUCCAUAUUUUGGAAACCAAUUUUCAUUCAGAAACAGAGAGAAAUGUCAUCAGAGCAUAAACUUCUUUCACUCGUGUAAAGAACUGCAUAUAUGUUUUAUUUGAUGCCCCUGCAUAUGGACAGAUGACCUUACUGAUAAAUGCAUGAAACUCUCUUCAGUCCAUUUAUUGUAUCAAACUGAUAGCCCAUUAGACAUUUUUAGCUAAGACCACUAAUCACUGCCACAUGAAUUGGGGACAGAGCCUCUGCCAUAUCAUACAUCAGUUGAUAUGUUUCGACAUCAUUUUUCAUUAUCCAGAUAAAAAUCUAUUUCUUCCUCUCAUUCUUAUAACAAGUACAGCACCAAAAAAUGUGAAUAAACUACGGAAAAGAGAUGCAGGAUGAGCAUCAGGCAGUAUACCUGCUCGCCAACAAAUAUAAUGCCAGAUUCGGGGUUGUCCCACUGUAAUAAAUGUAGCGAGGUCCGAUGUCUCCAACUCCUAUGACAUGUCUGAAACAGAUGGAAGCGUUAAGCAAGUCAAAAGCCAAGGAUCAUCAAUUGAGUACAUGGACUAUGAAGAUGAACAUUAAAUGAGCAUAUACAUAACUUCUACGAAAGAGUCUGUAGAUCAAAUCUCGCAUUCAAUGUCCUCACCACAAACCUAUGAUCUAGACAUGAUGGCAUAGGCUGUAUUGGAUUGACGUGAACGUGAACCACCUCACCCUGUAAUAGGCAAAGUCAUAUUAAGAUAAAAUCAGUGAGUGCAUGAGUAAACCCCAACAGAACAUUCACAAGAAUUAUAGCUUCAUGAAACCAACCUUAGUCCACUUCUGUUGUAUACAAUCAUGUAAAAAUCGCUUAUGCUGAGGUAUGGAUGCACUAGCAAAAACAGUUCGACGGUUGUUGCAUGUGAGUAUGAUGUCAACAGCUUCCGAAGAGAGUUGACUUGCUUAGAAGAGUUGAACGUGAAGUCUACCUAGGCAGCAUCAAAGUAAGAAUGUCAGUUCUUCAACCUACAAUAUCCAGGAAGAAUUCUGUCUGUAUAAAACAAGAUACCGAGGCCCCAGUGGGAUAAUUGCACAAUUUUAAUCAUACUAACAUGGUGAUUACAAAGUACCCAAUGAAAUAUACUCUCAACAAAAUAGACCAAUCGAGGCACUACAUGCUAACUGAAUAUCCUUUCUUAAAAAGGACCCUGCACCAGUCACUCUAAUCCCUAUACGCAUAUAAGAGGCAAUAAACGCCCACCUUAAAAAUACUCUUAAUUCUAAAACCAUUAAAAAAAAUUGGCCCCACUAGUGAAUGCCUGGGGAUUUUUCUGGAGGAGAAAGUGAUCUAGCAUCUUAACAAGAAUAUGGGGUUAAUGAAUCAGCUUUAAGAUGCCAAGCGGGUGUUGCUCUGAAAAGAAGAACUCAAAUUAUUCCUAAUUAUUUACCUCAUCAAUCACUAGAAUCUGCACUGUGUCGAGUUCAAAAAACUUGCUUCUCCAGCAUCUGGCACGAGCUCCUGAUGGUUGCCACUACUAUUGCUGGGGGUUCUGCCUAAAAAUGUUACAAGGAAAAGCCAAGGAGGUCAUAUUGAAGGUUGACGCAUGAAAUCCAUCAACAGGGUGCUUUAAUUUUAGAGAAGCAUCCCAAAGACAUAGCUACAUUAGGCAAUUGAUAUUUGUUGGCACUUGAAUGGACAAGUGUGGGGUUUGGGUGGGCAUAUAAUUGCCAGCUUGUGUUAUCAUGCUUCUGGUCAGACAGGUCCUCUGUUCUCAGGUUUAAAAACAUCAGCAAGAAAAUUUUAGGUUUUUCCUCUUCUUAGUACAUCCAUAUCUAAGAUUCAUGAUCUCAAAAGCAGGAAAUUCCACUAAAACUAAAAUUCUAGUUACAGGGGUACUUGUAAGAGCGUGGACAGAAUAACAACAUAGAGGAGCAAGACAACCACAAAUAUUCAGUCAAGAAAAGGUAGACAACUAAACAGACACGUAAGCAUCGACAAAGAGACAAACUUAUUUUGCCCAAAAAUGGAAGAAUUAAUAGAAGCUGUAUUUAACUGAGUAAACUAAUGCGUGGAAGAACAGUUUUGCAUGAGUUGCAGGAAAAAAAAAUUUUGCAUAAUUAAACGUACACAAGCAAAUGGAUAUCGGCAUAUGAUAUAUAGUCAAGAAAAGGAAAAAAGCACAUAAUACAAAAACCUUCUAUUUUACAGAGCGAUCACAAAAAUGUCAUUGAAGUAUAUAGGAAGAUAGCUCUGCUAAUGAUGUUUAGGUCACCCAGGAGAGGGAAGAAAAGUAGUACCAGCUAAGCAUUUCAAUAUUGAUUCUCCAUAACUUCUCCUACAUAAGGAGAAUACCAGUCAUUUCCUCAGAUCAAUAAGUAAACUAAUUAUACAAGGGGUUUUGAGAAUUAAUGUUUCUAUUUAUAAGUUGUAAUGACAGUUAUUUGUAGUUUAUAAGCGCUAGCUUAACUGUAAUUUUAUGCUCAGAAAGCACACCACACACAUGCGCACACAGAGAGAGAGAGAGAGAGAGAGAGAGAACCUUUGACCAACUCCUGUGUCUUUUCAAUGUACCUUCAUCUAGAAGAGCCAUAACAGUACAUGAUUUAUCUUGCUCCAUUUCAAGAUUCAUUGGCUUUGCAGCCAACAGCUGAGCAACUUUGGCUACCUUGUCAUAAAUGGAUAACAAUAAGAAGAAGACAUGACAUUGUGCUCUUAAUGUAGCAUGACACCAUUUUGUGCAGAUGUAACAACCACUUUCUGAGUUACAAUAGUGAAAGAGAAUCAGAAGACAAAAGGGAAAAUAUCAAAUGAAAUAUCAUAAUCAGAAAUUUACCAGAAUGCCAAGUUCUCGGGUGGGGACAACUAUUAACGCUUGUACAGAAGACCGUUGGCUGUUCAUAACUGAAAAUAUCCUCAGAAGGUACGUCGGCGUCUUCCCAGAACCUGUCUAGAGGGCCAAAAGCAUGAGUGCACCGGCCAUGUCAAUGCAGGAUCCUUUUACGUUUUCUUCCCUAGUUGAGUUUAUAUGCAGAGUCAAAAAGUAAUUCCAAUUGAGUUGGAAGUCUGAACAUUAACAGGAUAGAUCAUAUCACAUCAGACACAUAUUAGAUCACUCUUUUCGCAAACAUCUCCUCAAAACUCAAUAAACACAACUGUGAAUUGACCAAUAUAGUGGGAUACUUCAUGACUGCCUAGUACAGAGCAAUCUUUAGCCCUUUUGAAAAGUUGCAAGGUAGUUCUUCCAUUGGCGUUUUCUACCAAAUUGCCUACGUGAGAAACUUUCCAGGAAACCGGGAAACUGACGUGAUAGAUUAAUUAGAUAUCAAACCGCACAUUCAUUUAAUAGCUUUAGAAUAGUUGGCAGGGGUCCACAAAAUUUCCAUGGUAUCAGCUAGUGAUCUCACAAAAUCUCACAUGAUGAUGGUGCAAUCUUUUAAAAUUUUAAUAAAGGAUUUAAGACUGCACUAUACAAAUUAAAAGGCUCCCGCAUCAGACUUAAUUGCAUUCACUGCCACUUCCAAUGUUCUUUUCUCGUUUUGUUCUUAACAGGAAACGGAAAUCAAUGGUAAUAAGAGAUCAACCCGAGCACGAAGCACGCAAUCCCUUCCAGAGAAAAGGGCAGGCAAUGCUUCCCUCUGAACGUCAGUCGCUAAUACGUACCCAACUUCCUCCAUCCUGCAAAACCGCCCAAACAUAAAUUCUCCAUAUAGCUCCGAAAACCCAACGUCGGCAAAACAACAUCUGUCACUUCUCGCUCUAAAGUAACAAUCUUUGAACUUGGAAUUCGCACUUGCCUGCGCAGGACAUGCUCGGGCACGUGGCCGCUACAAAUUCUUCUCAGCGUGGGAGGGGCUGGCUCUGGGUCGGCUUCGUCCGCCGCGGGGAGAAGCUGACAAGGGCUCGCGGCGGCUCGUGACAGGACGUGGAGAGAGGAUAUUGAAUUGCGCGAGCGGCGACGACGGUCGAGAACUUGGGUUCGAGUUUGCGGAGAAGGAAGAGGGACGAAGGAGAGACAAGCUUUGUCGCGGAAGAAACGGCAGGACAGUGAAAGGAGACCGGAGUGGGAGGAGGAGAAGAAGAAGAAGAAGAACAAGAAGCCAUUGACGAGCAAGAAGCUCGCUCCUCGGACGAGAGCUGCGAGCUGCGACAGAGAAAGGAGACCACGUGUUGAACGAAUUAGGCUUCAAUGUUAUUUUUUGCAAAAUUGAUGGUAAUUUAUUUGAUUUAUGAAUUGAGACUUUUCACUAUUUUUUUCUUUUACUUCGGCUGGUUACAAGCUGAUUCACACGGGAAUUGGUUUGAUUCCGAGUAAAGAAUUUGAUAACCGACUUUGAUCGAUUCAGUUCUCAAUUAUUGGAAGAAUGGGUUUUGAAUUGACUUUAACAGCUGAUUCUCUAGUUAAACCGAUUCAAAUCAAAAUUCUAAAAGUUUCUUAAUUGAGAACUUUUACAUUGCCUCGAAUUAAUGACAUUAAGCAUUCUAGCACAUAGAUGUCAGCACAGUAUUUUAAAAAAUUUAAAAAAAAAAAAAAAAAAAAGGCCGAUGCCAGGAAUUCAGUUCAUUUCACAAUUCCAGUAACUAGAAACCGGUUUUAAUAAAGAUAGGUUCAAAGUUCAUGAUUUAAAACUCAACUACCCUAGGAACAAUCACCCUUUUCCACACCUGUACACAUUUUCUCCCCCAUGUAAUUCAGGAGGUCCAUGUUAGGAAUUUGAUCGGAUUAUAUUGUUCAUCUUUAGUUGAUUUCAACCUCUUAGCUAAAAAUACUCCUCACUUUUUUUUUAAUUUUUUAUUUAUUUAUCGCAAGACAGAUCUUUGAAAAUUGAAGUGGCUUUCUUGAGAACCUGCCCAAGUUUCCUGCCGUUCAUAGUAACUAAUCAGGUUGCUAAUGGGAAAAACAUUCAUAUAAUUCACCGUUCAACAGCCUACAUCGGAAUAAAGCAGCAGGAAACAGCUUCCGAUUUCUCUUGCUUGAGGUCCCAUUCCCCUAAGUGAAACUCCAAAUACGGACCAAAGAAGAAGAACCAAUGAAGUUGUUUCUCAAUGGAGUUGUACUUCCAUGAAACCGUGCUAAAGAAUGGUAGGUAGAGUUCACUCCAACAGUCCGCCUGAAAAAAUAUACAGUUCAUCAAAAGGUAAAACUGAACGGCUCUAGCUCUUUCCCGGAAUCAAGAUGUAAGAUAUACGCAAAAUCAGGCCGACCAAGCUACCUCUACCGACAUCUUCUAUUUGCACAGUCCGAUUAGGUUGUCUGCCUUCCAAGUUGAUGAUAGCACGGUGGCCCAAGGGUUUGGAUGGGGAGGGAUCAGAGCUCCGGCGUCAUAUCCCGCCACUGGGUUUCAACUAGGUCUGUUAGAAAGGUUUCAGCAUUGAGAUGGUGAAACAAGGCUCCACCGGCCAUGUCCAUGUCCACAACCCCAUCAACUCCCUUAAAUGCAACACGCAAUUUCAUCAAACUCGACACUUUCUUAUCAUCCUUGCGCGACAUGCCGGUCACAUGGAUAACAUCUCUUGGAACUUUACCCAUUAAAUCAAAUAAUGGCAGAUCUAGGUUUGACCGAGUCAUCUCUUCCAGCACCGGAGGUGCCUGCAUGUAUAGAUUCUUCCCCCUAUGCGUGACGCUUGCUCUUGAUAGAAGCAGCCUUGGGUGCUCUUCGAGCAUAUUGAUGAACUGAUGACAUACAAGAUGAAAAGAGAUGACGAGUAAUCAGAUAACUGCAAGAACUACCCAAGUGCUUAGAAACAUGUGAAGAAGGUUACAGAGAGAGCUAUACAGGAUAAAAACCUCUAGCUAGCAUUCCCAUUAAUUUGUAGCGAGUAAUAAACAGAGCUUAAGAACAAGAAAGCACCUUUUGUAGGGUCACUGAAAUGUCCAACUCAAUAAGAACACCAGGACCACAGACAAGGCAAUCCUUAUCCCUCACGAACUCAGUAACUUUAAUGUGAAGUCCUUCCACACCGUUGUAUCUGAAAUUCAAAAAUAUUAAAUAAACUCGCAGCUCAAAGUUUGCCCACUUUAAAGAACAAAAUUGGGAUUACUGGGCAUUUGCAAGCUAGCAACUAGACAAAGCGUGUAGAACUUGCAAGUUUUCGCUCAUAGAGGAUGGAUACAUACAGACAGCACAUUAGUAAAUUCAUCUACUGAAGCACUGAUCUUCAGAUGUACUGAUCAGUAACAAAAGCAGGAUAUGACACAGGCCGGGAGAGACAAAAGUAAAACUAAGAGAUCUCCAAGAAAUAAAUAAAUAAAUAAAUAAAUAAUAUAUAUAUAUAUAUAUAUAUAUAUAUUAGCAUAUUCAUACAUGUCUAAGAAAUAGCAAGUAAACAAUUCGGCAUCACAAGUUUACGACCGAGAUGCACUCCAUUUAACCUCAAGUUUAGAGACUCCAGCACUGAGAACCUUUAAUUGAGUUGCAACAUGUCACCUGAUAAUUUACGGAAAGCUUGGAACAUAAGCUAUGGAGGUCACACUAAGAGGCUUGAGAGCCAAUGAGAAAAGAAACACAAAAUAUAACAGAAUCCAAAUAUUAGCACCCAAAUGUUGCACCCACAGCCAAACGCUCUGACAGAAGGCUGUUUCUAAAAUUACUCGAAACCUACCCCCAAGCCAGCAAGUUAUUUUAAGAACCCAAGAAAGCUAGCAAGAGUACAUUUUUCUAGACAUCUGUCCAAGAAGCGACGGACACGGAUGUUAGAAAACACAAAAGAGAGAUUCAACAUAAGAUCAGGAACAGCUGACAAAAGAUAUUUAACCAAGAACACCUUAUACUCAAUCAAGAAAGCGUGACUGUAAAGAACUAGCAGAGCAAUGUAAAAUGAUUCCAGAGAGACCAUAACCAGAGGGUAUUUUGAAGAAUCAAUUGUGAUGAAGAAUAGAAAGAUUGUUAGUGCAGCAACAACAAAUAGAUUAUGCAGGCUGCCCGCUUCAACAGUCACCGUUUAGGCAUGUCAAACUAUAACAUGUGUCUCAUCUCCAUAAACUAAAAGGCCAUAUUCAAAGAUAUGCCCAAGUGUCACACUAGAUAGUAAGAGAAGAAUACAGGAAGCAAAUUGGUUAGCCCUACUUGGUAUAUUCUCGAAGAAUAAAAACACUUUCAGGAAUCUAAAACAGCCCAAGAUGAAAUACAAGAAAGCCUUUCAGUCACUUCUAGUAUAUAAUAUUAAAGGAACCCUACAAAGUUCUGCAGGAUGAAUUUUGCCUUAUACUUGAAACAAGAACAAGAUGCUAUCCACAUCCAAGAUAUACAGGAAACAAAAAAGAAUUUUACACAAUGAAGCACAUGAGAACUGUAAAAGGCAAGGUACGACGCACGUUAAGUAGUUGGAUAAAGUUUUGCUGCAUCCAGUUGCAAUCUUCAAGGUUUCCAGAGCACAAGCAACUGAUAUGAUUGCAUUAGUUGAAGCUAUAGCUUGUAUGAUAUUUUUCACAACACCCUGGAUAGAAACAAUAAAAAUGAGCUUAUCUUGAAGUACUAAUCUUAUAAUUAAUCACAUGAUAAAACGAAGCAAAAUGAGUUUACUCGUAAUUGUAAAAGUUGACAUAAAAAAUAGGACGACAAAUCAAGUAGGGUUUACAGCAUGACCUGAGGAAUUUAAUAUUCUCUACCAUUUGCCAAAUAAUCAAAGCGUAGAGAACAACUCCAGUAUUAGGAUGAAGCACAAAAUCAUGAAUCUAACUCACAAUACUUAGAAGUUUGUUGUCCCUACUUAUAAGAAAAAUGCUUCCUUAAGAUUUUUAACAUAAUGACAACAGCAAAGCAGAUUGUAAAGCUCAGUCAUAUGCAAAAAAGGAAAAUCUCUAGGCCGUUAACAACAAUAGGAGAACUAAUGCACCUGAGUGAGGGAAUAAGUCACUCCUGGAAUUCUGAAUAGCUCUGCUGUUUUGACAGCCUGCAGAUCAAGUUUUUAAAAAAUGAAUAGUCCAAAAAGAAAAUUAAUGUCUGGACAAAUCACCAAACAAUUUGAUUGCAACUGUAGUAACCUCGGAAUAAACCCACUACAUAUGUUCUGGAUCAUCAGGAUCAAAUGACUUUCCACUAUGGACCUACAGGUGAAAAUCCAACACAAUGACAAAAUAAGAUACAGUACUUAAAUAUAACAGAUCACAUGAUGAACGAAUUGGACAGCUUACAAAGUUAGCUCAUCACCUCAUCCCAUUUUAUUAGAUGUGCAUAUUCAAUACAAUGAGCAGCAGUUCUCGGGGUUUCUGCGAGAGUACAGAGAGGAAAUUUCACUUGUGGAGGGAAAAGCCAGAUGGUACACUCGAAGCAUGGGGUGACCCCUGGUUUUAUAACUCUUGCAUGCCCCUUAAAACCUUCCGUCCCACCAUCCACCAUGGGUUUCAUCGUUUCUUCCCUUGGAUUGUCAUCAGAAUCGUAUUCUGUAAUGUCAUUCGACAACAGUGAAGCUCAGUCAGAUGGUGAGCUAGGUUGGCAAAAGCUCCUACUUCCAGUACUCAUCAGAAAGCAUUAAUUGCCUAAACUAGCUAUUAGUCAGAAUGCAGCCACUAUUAGAUGUUUAAAGAUCAUUAAGGACCAUAUGCAGUAAAUUGAAAUUAAAGCUGGAAUUUUGAGCCAAAGAAGAAGCUUAAAUUGACAAGAACAACCAAUAUGAAUAUACUUACAACCAAUAUGUUUCCCUGGAUGCUUGGAAGAGCUAACAAAUAAUUGGAAGGUUGGAAUGAAUCUUUAAUUUCUAAAGCGGGGAAGGAGAUAUUACUAAAAACAGUAGUGCAGGCUCUUCCUCAAUAUGAAAUGUCAAUUUUUCAGAUUCCUGAUUCCAUAUGUAGAGCGAUUGAAGAGAGAAUGGUAGCAUUUUGGUGGAAAAGCAGAGAAUCUCACUCUGGUAUUCAUUGGAAGAGUUUUGAUUUCUUGAAGCAAAGGAAAGAUAAUGGAGGCAUGGGAUUAGAAGAUUUACUUUCUCUUAACGAGGCUUUCUUAGGUAAGCAAGGCUGGAGAUUGAUGCACCCUCUUUAUGGGGUCAAAUUUUUAAAGGGAUUUACUUCCCAAAAAGGAGCUUUUGGCAUGCAAGGGAAGGGCAUAGACCCUCUUGGGGCUGGCAAGGCUUACUAGAGGGAAGAGACUCAAUCUCAGAAUCUUCAAUGUGGAUAGUGAACAGGAGAAGCAAUCAGUAUCAAAGAGGACAGAUGGUUGAAAAGAGGAGUAAUUGGAGGGCCAGCAAAUGAAAAUGACCCACAAUAGGCAGAGGAGCUUAUAAACCACGAAGAAAGUUUCUGGAAUGAACCUCUUCUUCGAAAAGUUUUCAAAGAGGACACUGGAAAGGAAAUUCUGACUAUUCCUCUCAGAUAUCACUCUACUCAAGACAAACUGGUGUGGAAUAGCAAAUUACAUAGUAAAGAGUGGCUAUAACUACAUAAAACUUACCGAGGACAUUCGUAAAGCUUCAAUGGCCUCCUCAUCUUUCUCAGCUCCUCGACCUAUAUAGAAUAAGAUCAGGAAAAUGCAAACAACCCCUAAAAUUAAGUUCUUCCUUUGGAAUGCAUGUCAAAAUAGUCUACCCACAAUGGAGAACUUACACAAGCGAAAAAUGGUAGCAGAUCCUCUCUGCUCCCUAUGUAGAGACCAAGUGGAAUCCACAUAGCAUCUCCUUCUCCUUUGUCCCUGGACGCAAGAAAUUUGGGCCCAACCAUCCCUAAACAUUCAGAAAACCCACCUUCUCUGUCGCUUGUAGCAACCAUCUUUAAAGGCCAACGAUCCCCUUGAGUUAGAGUCGGACAAUCUGACUUUAGUUAAAGCUAUGUAGAAUCCAGACCCUAUUCCAUGGGAUGCACACGCAAUCAUCUCCCAAUGCCUUGAUCUGUCAUCCGGCUUCUCACAUCUGUGUAUCACCCAUUGCCAUCGCGAAGCCAACUCCAUUGUGGACUGGGCCGCCAAAGCUCAGCGCCAAAAAACUUUGCCAAGGGAGUGGAUUUCUUCCCCUCCCCAAAUCGUUGGAUUUACUUCGUAAGGAAGCCCAGUUUUUGGCCCCUGUGUUUUCAAUUCGAAUUAAAGUUAAUCAAUUUAUGACCAAAAAAGAAAAAAAUUGGCUUCGUCACUGAAUAAGCAUAUCACCAAGUCAAUAGGUAAUUCACCACCUCUAGUGAUUUGCUAUAUAAUCCGCAUAUUCCGUGAUAUCUGCAUGGUUUAUGAUAACGACAUGUCCUACACCCAUAAAUAUAGAAAUAAGAUACUUCCACUAAUAGGAGAGAAUGUCAUAUGUUAAUAAUAUAUAUAUAAAAUCUAUCAAUCAAAUUUAAAAGGUUAGAUCUAUUCAUCAUAUAUAACUGUGCCGGGAGAACUUGAGGCAAAGUUGGUGUAAAUUUUUUAAUGCAUUUUGCCCUAUUGAAUUGGUUAAAUGAAAAUAGAGAAAAUGAGGUGUAAUUUUUAGUAAAUUAAAUCAAAACUGGCCAGGAACAAGAUUUCGAGUGCGUAUUCGUCAUCCAUUCCAAAUCCUCCCACAUGGUUAGUAUAGCGAGUCUUUCAUCAAUCAAGCUUCAGUAACCCAAAUAGAGCGCAGUCUCAAGCGAACAAACCUAGACUCUAGCGACCUUGCUCUUCACACCAGAAACAUCAUCAAAUCUGGUUCAACAACGUCUAUCAUUCUGAUAGCAAAAUCAACCACAGUAAGAUUUCAACCUCGGGAAACUGUGACUCCGAGACAUCCGACGGCAGCGGAUACAUGAAAUCCAAACCAACUCCAACCGCAGCUUCCCAAAGUAGAAACCUCUUAACUUCUUUAUUGACCCGACAAAGUUUAGCAGGCAAAUAUCGAAUGGCUUCCAUUUAAGCACAAAGAACCAAACCGGAAAAUCACAGACAACUCACUUCAAAUAAAGAUUCCAACAAAGCUCCAUGCAGGUGCCAUUUAUGGUGGCAAAUUGAAAGACAAUUGCAAAUUAUUGGGCACUAUAUCAACCUGAUUGGCAAGACAUUCAGUAUUUCAAAAAUCUUUUAUGUUCACAAACUGUUUCAGCUCUGCAAAGCUUUCUAUAGAAGGUGAUAAGGGCAAUAUGGGAUAACAACAUGUGGACAUCCUUACCGUUCCACGGAUGUAUCAUUAGCAUUUGGAGAAGUCCAAGCAACAUCGAGCUUCCUUCUAGAAUUUCCUUUCGAAAGCUCUUUCGGACAUCUCGGCAUUUACACCACAACCAGAUGGAUGAUAAUCAAAUCCUAUCAGUGAAUCAAAUCAAAUCGAUCUAGCAAUUAACAUCAGCGAACUACUAAUAUUACACCAAAGUUCACAGAUCUUUCUUUGUAAAACUCAAUAUUAAUUUCCCUUCUUAACUAUUUCGAUCCAACUAAUAUGCAUCAUAGUGAAUUCAACUUAAGUCGCUUGAUUUUGUGGUAGAUUGUAUAAUUCUUUUCAUUUCAUCAUGUGCUAUUCAUAUAUCAGAAUGAAUGCAAGAUAGUUUUCAAACGGCAUACAAGAUAAAGGAAAGUUUCUUCAAGAAACUUUGGGCAAUGCUUCCUGUGUUUUUUCUUGUCUCCAAGUAAAUGCACAAAUAAGAGAUUAUGCAUAAUAUAAGGGAUUAUUAUACAGUGCAAUCGAUUAUUUCAAAAGACAUUCUCGUUCAUGUCUGCUAUAUUGAUUAUUUGCUUGACUCAAAAGUUCCGGUAAUGGACAGAUGACUUUGCUAACUAUCCAAAUAUUAAGAAGUAUUCUUCGUACUAAUCUAUUGAUUAUCUUGGACUUUUAGUUAUACCACGGAUUGAAAACAGACGAACAUGGAUUUUAUAAUUAGCAAAAUAUAAGUUGUAAUUUUCUCGAUUGCUCCCAACAUUUCACAAUAGUUUUGCUUCUGGCCUGUUUGCUAGUUUAUUCACAACCAACCCGCUAGGAGAAGAGUCAAUUCUAGCAUUUAAUGUUUCGUCACCGAUACGAUUAUGUUAAUAAGCUAAUGUGGACAUUCUGCCAGAUAAAAUGUGGGAAACACAAUGGCUUGACAAAUUUAUCCCAAGUUAUACCUUAGAAUCCUAAAUUCACGCUUAACCGUACUUUAGAAAUAUGCAGUCAUAAACUGUAUGAAGAACGCAGAGCAAACUAAGACCUCACAUCAGAUGAUUGAAAACAAUGAUGCACGUAGAAGGCCUUUCGACCAUUUCCAUGAACCUCGCCCCUGGAUUGCUUGAAUCAAAACAAGAAAACAAUAACACUGUCAACGAGGAAAUACUAAUGAAAAGUUGAUAAAAGUCAAAAGAAGUUGCAAUCAGGAAAUUCAAAUGAAAAUUGGAUGACAGAUCUCCAAAGGAAAAAGGUAGCUUAACUGCUUCAUGUACCCUCUUUAGGAAAUGCAGAUCGUCCCAACUGUCUCCACACCUAUUAUCGACUUCCUAGCUUCUCCGACUAGCAUCGCUCCUAGCUUUAGCUCGUAAUUUUGAUAAAGCCGCCCUCUAGAUAAUUCUGGUAUUGUCUUGAGAGACUUGCAUCCAGAAAUGUCCAAUUCCACAAGUUGCUGCAAUUUCUCGAGCCCUUGAAGCUCAGUCAGUUUCACACAAUCUUGCACAAUCAGACUGACCAAGUUGGUACAUGAUGAAAAAUCAGGUAAGAUUUCAAUCGACCAACAUUUCAAGAUAACAAUAAAUCGUAGGGAUGUCAACUUCUCAAGUCCUGGGAUCUCCCGAAGUUCAUCACAAUAUAACAGUGACAAACACUGUAAAUUAUGAAAAUUUGACAAGUUUG